rnacentral:rRNA from 1 species
AUCCUAGCCGUAAACACUGAGCACUGGAGGGGAGGGGCUUCGGCCGUUUCCCUCGUAGCGAAAGCGUUAAGUGCUCCGCCUCGGGGAGUAUGGUCGCAAGGCUGAAACUCAAAGGAAUUGACGGGGGCUCACACAAGCGGUGGAGCAUGUGGCUUAAUUCGAGGCAACGCGAAGAACCUUAUCCUGGGCUUGACAUGGUGGGAUUAGGCGGCCGAAAGGUCGUUGACGCCUUCGGGUGGAACCAUCACAGGUGCUGCAUGGCUGUCGU